rnacentral:rRNA from 1 species
AGAGUUUGAUCCUGGCUCAGGAUGAACGCUGGCAGUGUGCCUAAGACAUGCAAGUCGAACGGGAGUCUUCGGACUCUAGUGGCGAACGGGUGAGUAACACGUGGGCGACCUACCCCCAAGUACGGCAUAACCCCGGGAAACCGGAGCUAAUUCCGUAUGUGCUUACGUCUCAUUUGACGUACGUAAAGAUUUAUCGCUUGGGGAUGGGCCCGCGGCGCAUCAGCUAGUUGGUGGGGUAGCGGCCUACCAAGGCGACGACGCGUAGCCGACCUGAGAGGGUGACCGGCCACAGGGGCACUGAGACACGGGCCCCACUCCUGCGGGAGGCAGCAGUUAGGAAUCUUCGGCAAUGGGCGAAAGCCUGACCGAGCGACACUGCUUGGAGGAUGAAGGUCUUCGGAUCGUAAACUCCUGAACGAGGGACGAAUAAUGACGGUACCUCGCUAAUAGCACCGGCUAACUCCGUGCCAGCAGCCGCGGUAAUACGGAGGGUGCGAGCGUUAUCCGGAAUCACUGGGCGUAAAGGGCGCGUAGGCGGUUUGUUAAGUCCGAUGUUAAAGACCGAGGCUCAACCUCGACACGGCGUUGGAUACUGGCAAGCUGGACGGUUGGAGAGGAAGGUAGAAUUACCAGUGUAGCGGUGAAAUGCGCAGAUAUUGGGAGGAACACCAGUGGCGAAGGCGGCUUUCUGGGCCACGACUGACGCUGAGGCGCGAAAGCUAGGGGAGCAAACAGGAUUAGAUACCCUGGUAGUCC